GGUAGUACGAUCGCAAGAUUAAAACUCAAAGGAAUAGACGGGGACUUGCACAAGCGGUGGAUCAUGUGGCUUAAUUCGUCGCUAAGCGAAGAACCUUACCAGGGCUGGAAACCAAGCUGCAUCCCACCCGAAAGGGAGGGAGCCUUCGAGGGUGCUUGGCAGGUGAUGCAUGGUCGUCGUCAGUUCGUGGCUUGAGCUGUUCCCUUCAGUGGGGUAACGAACGCAACCCCCGUUGUCUGUUAAAUUUUCAGGCGAGACUGCCCCCUCACGGGGGAGGAAGGUGGGGAUGACGCCAGAUCAGCAUGUCCCUUGAUGCCCUGGGCUGCACACGUGAUACAAUGGCCGGUACAGAAGGACGCAAUACGGUAACGUGGAGCAAAUCCCAAAAACCGGCCCCAGUACGGAUCGAGGUCUGCAACCGACCUCGUGAAGCCGGAAUCGCUAGUAAUCGUGGGUCAGCAACACCACGGUGAAUACGUUCUCAAGUCUUGUACUCACCGCCCGUCAACUCAAGGAAACUGGGGGUACCCGAAAUCUUGGCUUGUCCAGGACUACGGUAAAUUCAGUGACAGGGAGUAAGUCGUAACAAGGUAAC
rnacentral:rRNA from 1 species